rnacentral:rRNA from 1 species
GACGAACGCUGGCGGCGUGGAUUAGGCAUGCAAGUCGGACGGUAGAGCUUUAUCGUAAGAUAGAGUUUGAGAGUGGCGAACGGGUGAGUAACACGUAGGAAUCUACCCUUAAGACGGGGACAACCCAGGGAAACUUGGGCUAAUACCGGAUGAGAGUGCGAGAGAUUGCAUUUAAAAGGAUGGCGAAAGUUGUCGCUUAGGGAUGAGCCUGCGGUCUAUUAGUUAGUUGGUGAGGUAAGAGCUCACCAAGGCGAUGAUAGAUAGGCGGCCUUAACGGGUGGUCGCCCACACUGGGAUUGAGAUACGGCCCAGACUCCUACGGGAGGCAGCAGUGGGGAAUAUUGCGCAAUGGGGGAAACCCUGACGCAGCGACGCCGCGUGAAGGAAGAAGGCCUUCGGGUUGUAACUUACUCUGAUGAGGGACGAAGGAAGUGACGGUACCGUCAAGAACAAGCCACGGCUAACUACGUG